UGUGAAAUACCACGAAAUCACACCAAUUAGUACUGAAUUUUGCCGUACGAAAUCCACGGCGCUCUACAAUAGUUCAAAAUUUGACAAUAAACGGGUGGAACUACGUGCAACAUCAACGACUUUGAAUGCUAAGCACGUCGGUUUGCCGAAAAAAAAAUCAAUAAAAUCUAUAUCAAAUCGUUUUGAAUGACACAACGUAACAUUACACAUCGGAGUAAAUGAUAUCAACUCCACAACUAAUACUCGAACACAAAAUCCAAUACAACAAACGACUCAUUCUUUCAAUUGUUUCCUCCUCUUUUCUCUUUCCGUAUUCAGUUGGCUCGGGAAUUGUUCUUUUGGCAUCUUGAAAAACCAUAUAAGCGCGCGCUGAAAUAAAUCGGCCAAUUUUAGCGUGUCAAACCAAGUAGUGAUAAAUUUUCUUCGGCUUUCAUUAUUACAAACAAAAUAUUUAAAUAAGAAGUACAUACAAAAUAUGGAAAUAUUUACUUUGAACUCAAUUUAAAUCAACUCGUGAUUUCAAUAGACGCACCAAGAGUUCCGAACUAAUACAAAAUAAAAUUGCAUAAGCUCCAUCACAUACAUGGCUUAUCAAUCAUGAUAAGGGCGCUGUUUGUUUGGCUAGUAAAAAAAGAAGCAUCAGCAAAGAUAGCUAUUACUAGAGGUGAUUCUGGACCUGUCAUGACAUUCACUUCGAAGUAUUUAAUCAACGACGUUUGUCGUCGCAACGUCAACAAUUGCGCCAACGAAUAGCGAUUGUCUGGCCGAAACCAUCUCUGACUGUUCACAAAUGACAAUUGAAUAGCGAUGAUAGUGAAGCAAUUGAAAUUGAAUUUUAGCCUGUUCAAACAAAAACAUUAUGAAUCGAUCAAAACAAAUUAAUGACAAUUCUUCAUAAUAUUCCACUCAAAGUGUUUACAUUUGUGAUAAAAAAAGAGCCGUUUUGCUUAUGUUUUCCAUUUCCUAUGAUUAUUCCGAGUUCAUUUCAAUUCGAUUCUUAUAAUUCAUUUUGCAAUGAUUGUUGUUUGUGCGACGAUUCACGAGUUUCAAACACGUUAUCAUGUUUGCUGUGUUUGGGUCAGUCGCUCACUUUGGAAUUUUUCCGAACGCAAUUUACUCAAACCGAUCCGGUUCAAUGUAGCACGAGAUUUUUCGUAUUUAAAAUUGAAUCUGACGACUAACUAUCAUGUUAAUGAAUGCUAUGGUUAAUUUUAAACAGAAUAAAAAACAAAUACACAUCAUUAUCAGCCAUGCGAUAGCUUAUGAACUCAUUUUUUUCAUGUGACACAUUGACUUCUUUCAACCUUUUUAUUUCUGCAUAAUCAGUCGGAUGCCUCUUUCGAAUCGAAUCUCGGUUCAUUUGAAGUUUUAAGUAACACAAAAUAUAGGAAUCGGUGGUUUCUGUUUUCUUCAAUACAUAGCUACAAUUUUUUCUGUAAAAAAUCAUAAUGAAUCAUUGAUUCGAAUGUAGCGCUCCAAUUAUUAAAUUGUUUUGAGGAAAUUCAUGCUGUCUAAGGGGACACGUGCGUUUUAUUGGUAGAAUAUCAAUUCGUCAGCAUAGCAACAACCCAACCACAGCCAUUCUGAUAAAUAGCACACACUGUUUUAAUAUAAAAUUCGUCUUUGCGCCAAACGUUAUCAGCAACGCUGUCCGAAAGAUGUAAACCAUUUCUGUAUUUAUCUUGAAACCGAAGUACAUGCUCCGUCACACAAAAUGCACGCCCUUUUGAUGUUUUCAAUGUUUACACUCAAAACAUUACGUGAAAUCAUUGAGCGGGCCAUUUUCGAUUUGCGCUGUGUUCCAAUGUUAAGUGCACUUGAAGUUGGCUAAUAAUACGUUUGCUUUGGAAUUAUGGUUCGAACGUCAUUCACCAAAUCUAGUAUCAAAUAACUGCCAUAAAAUAGCGAGAUAAUUCAGAUGAAUGAUUAGAAAAUGCGUAGCUCUCGCAGUCAUUAGAUGUGUUUUUUCGUAUCCAUUCAAAAUGAAAUUUGUGUUGUCAACUAUUUUUGUGAUCUUUUCAAUUUCGCAGAUAUUGGCGGUCAGUAAUGAAGGCACUACUAUCGAUGUAAUUCAGCCUGUAACAGUCGAAACCAGAACAACAACAACAACAACAACGACUACGAAAGAACCGCCAUUUGUUGAGGCAAAAGCAAAAGCACAGGCGACACCAAGCGUUAGAUUGCCAGCCUCACAAGCUCGUGAUCUCUAUGAAAAUGUAGAAAUAGCUGUUGAAGGCCGACCUAUUCCUGCUGAUUUUAUAGCACUUUCCCCACUCGAUUGUUCAUAAAUCAAAAGAAAUAGGGAAGUUUCCGCGGAUGUUUGCUACCAAAUUGCAUUAUAUAAAAACAACCAAGAUGAUGACGAAAUUGCGGCGAACUCGUGAACUAUCAAAAUUUCAAUACAAAUUAAUACGGCGUUCGUGGCGCCAUUAGUACUCAAAAUUUAAUUUGUACUGAGAUUUCGUCAGCUUGAAAACUGUACCAACUUAUUGUAAAUCCUUACGAUACCACCUACCUGUUUCUGCGUUUAGCGUAUGAAUUUAGGAAUCUUUUUUAGUUUGUGGCACGAAAUCAAAUAAAUACAUAUACUUAUGGCUUAGAAA